GACGAACGCUGGCGGCGUGCUUAACACAUGCAAGUCGAACGGAAAGACCCUGCUUUUGUGGGGUGCUCGAGUGGCGAACGGGGGAGUAACACGUGAGUAACCUGCCCUUGACUUUGGGAUAACUUCAGGAAACUGGGGCUAAUACCGGAUAGGAGCUCCUGCUGCAUGUGGGGGGUUGGAAAGUUUCGGCGGUUGGGGAUGGACUCGCGGCUUAUCAGCUUGUUGGUGGGGUAGUGGCUUACCAAGGUUUUGACGGGUAGCCGGCCUGAGAGGGUGACCGGGGACAAUGGGACUGAGAUACGGCCCAGUAGCGUACGGGAGGCAGCAGUGGGGAAUAUUGCACAAUGGGCGGAAGCCUGAUGCAGAAGUGCCGCGUGCGGGAUGACGGCCUUCUGGUUGUAAACCGCUUUCGCCUGUGACGAAGCGUGAGUGACGGUAAUGGGUAAAGAAGCACCGGCUAACUACGUG
rnacentral:rRNA from 1 species